AUGGUCAUGCUGUCAAUGGGAUGCUUUGGAAUUUCCAUUGGGAUCCUUGGAAUGGCCUUUGGGAUCCUUGGAGGCGCCAUUGGGAUCCUUGGAAUGGCCUUUGGGAUUCUUGAUGAUUCCACUCAAAUCCUUGGAAUUGCCAUUGGAAUCCUUGGAAGGGCUGUAGGGAUGGUCAUGGUGCCAUUGGGAUCCUUGGAGUUGCCAUUGAGAUCCUUGGAAUUGCCUUUGGAACCCUUUGGAGAGUGGUUGGGAUGGUCGUGGUUCCGUUGGAAUCCUUGGAAUUGCCAUUGGAAUCCUUGGAAAAGCUGUAGGGAUGGUCAUGGUGUCAUGGGAAUCCUUGGGAAUGUCUUUGGGCUAUUGGGUGGUUCCACUGGGAUCCUUGGAAUUGCUGUUGGGAUCCUUGGAAUUGGUGUUGGGAUGGUCACAGUUCCAUUGAGAUCCUUCAGAAUGUCUUUGGGAUCCUUGGAAUUUGCAUUGGAAUCCUUGGAAGUGCCAUCAGGAUGGUCAUGGUUCCAUGGGGAUCCUUGGGAAUGUCUUUGGGAUGCUUGGUGCUUCCAUUGGAACUCUUGGAAGAGCCCUUGGGAUCCUUGGAAGAGUUGUUGGGAUUGUCAUGGUUCCAUUGGGAUCCUUGGAAUUGCCUUUGGGAUCCUUGGAAUUGCCAUUGGGAUCCUUGGAAUGGCCUUUGGGAUCCUCAGAAGAGCCCUCGGGAUUCUCGGUGGUUCCAUUGGAACCCUUGGAAGAGCUUUGAGAUCCUUGGAAUUGCCACUGGGAUGCUCCAAGAUUCCACUGGAAUCCUUGGCGGUUCCAUUGGAUUCCUUGGAAGCACCGUUGGGAUGGUCACGGCUCCAUUGGGAUCUUUGGGAAUUCUCUGGGACGCUUGGUGGUUCCACUGGAAUCCUUGGUGGUUCCAUUGGAUUCCUUGGAAUUGCCAUUGGAUUCCUUGGAAGGGUCGUUGGGAUGCUCACGGUUCCAUUGGGAUCCUUGGGAAUGUCUUUGGGACAUUUGGUGGUUCCAUUGGAUUCCUUGGAAUUGCCAUUGGAUUCCUUGGAAUUGCCCUUGGGAUGCUUGGUGGUUCCUUUGGAA
rnacentral:lncRNA from 1 species